AUAUUUACCUAGUAGGGGAGACACCAUGAUCAGGAAGGUGGUUUCCCCAGGGCGAGUCUCAUCCAUUGCACUUGGGAUGUGCUGACCCCUGUGAUUUCACCAAAUUUGGGAAACUCGAUUGCAUAAUUUGUGGUAGUGGGGGACUGCAUUCAUGCUCUCCCCUU
ensembl:snRNA U1 U1 spliceosomal RNA